rnacentral:lncRNA from 1 species
GCAUAUGGAGGUUCCCAGGCUAGAGCUAUAGCUGCUGGCCUACACCAGAACCUCAGCAAUGCCAGAUUCGAGCUGCAUCUGCAACCUACACCACAGCUCAUGGCAGCGCCGGAUCCUUAACCCACUGAGUGAGGCCAGGGAUUGAACCCUCACCCUCAUGUUUCCUAGUCAGAUUCAUUUCAGCUGCACCACAACAGGAACUCCUUUGAAAUGUCUUUUUCUCCUAUUGUGAGCUAGGUUGAGCAUCUUUUCAUUUGUUUAAGGUCAUUUGCAUUUCUUUUUCUCUGUAUUCUUUGUUUAUAUCUUCUGCCCAUUUUUCUAUAGAUUGCUUUUUUCCUUCAAUUUUUUAGCAGCUCUUUUUGAAUAUGUAACCCCUUGUGACAAAAUUUUCAAAUGUUUUAUCUUUCAACUUUUCGGAAGGCAUUUUUCCUGUGUAAAUGUGUAUUUUUAUCUACUCAGUUUUCUUAGUCUCUUAGUUUUUUUUCUUAUUCUUUCCAAUUUUGAGUCAAAGUUUGGACAGUGUUUUAACAUGUCUUUCUUUUUUUUUUGUUUGUUUUUGUUUUGUUUUUUCUUUUUUGUUUUUUAGGGCCGCACCCAGCGCAUUAUGGUGAUUCCCAGGCUAGGGGUCAAAUCAGAGCUGUAACUUCCGGCCUACACCACAGCCAUAGCAAUGCCAGAUCCCAGCCUUGUCUGUGACCUACACCACAGCUCAUGGCAACGCCAGUUCCUUAACCCACUGAGCAAGGCCAGCGAUCAACCCUGCGUCCUCGUGGAUAUUAGUCAGCUUCGUUUCUGCUCACCCAUGAGGGGAACUCCUAAAAUUUCAUUUUUACUUUGGAAAAUUUCUUUAAUACUUUAUCUGAUAAUUUUUCCGCUUAAGUUUAAAUAGGGAGCUUUCUGGGCAGGCAUCAAUGACAUUUAUUGUUUAUUGGAGCAGCCACAGUUUACCAGUGGUGUUAUAUCUGACAUAGCUGUAGGUCUUCGUACUCAUAAUAACACCAAGGCAGCUCAGGGGCAAAACAUUGUUAUCCUCCUUUAAAUGAGACUUGAUGAAUAGGCAAAUUCUUUCUCUUAGUACACAUUUAUUCAUGAUUCUAUCCAAAGCGUUAAUUUUCUUCCUCUGUCCCAUUUCUUGAGUGGCCGUAUACUCUGGAUAUUUUUCCUGAUCCGUAAAGUGAAGAGAUUAAAUUGGAGGCCUCUGGUCCUUUCUAGCUCUUAUAUUCCAAUGUGUCAAUGAAUUUCAAAAGAUUUG